GACGAACGCUGGCGGCGUGCCUAAUACAUGCAAGUCGAACGCAGUGGGGACGGGUGAGUAACACGUGGGUAACCUCCCAUCAGAGGGGAUAACACUUGGAAACAGGUGCUAAACCGAUACAGAUGGAGGAACCAGCGGUGCAUUAGCUAGGUGGUGAGGUAACGGCUCACAAAGGCCACGAUGCAUAGCCGACCGAGGAGGGUGAGCGGCACCACGGGGACUGAGACACGGCCCAGACUCCUACGGGAGGCAGCAGUAGGGAAUCUUCGGCAAUGGACGAAAGUCUGACCGAGCAACGCCGCGUGAGUGAAGAAGGUUUUCGGAUCGUAAAACUCUGUUUUUAGAGAAGCGGUAUCUAACCAGAAAGCCACGGUUAACUACGUGCCAGCAGCCGCGGUAAUAC
rnacentral:rRNA from 1 species